rnacentral:rRNA from 1 species
GACGAACGCUGGCGGCGUGCUUAACACAUGCAAGUCGAACGGAAAGGCCCUGCUUUUGUGGGGUGCUCGAGUGGCGAACGGGUGAGUAACACGUGAGUAACCUGCCCUUGACUUUGGGAUAACUUCAGGAAACUGGGGCUAAUACCGGAUAGGAGCUCCUGCUGCAUGGUGGGGGUUGGAAAGUUUCGGCGGUUGGGGAUGGACUCGCGGCUUAUCAGCUUGUUGGUGGGGUAGUGGCUUACCAAGGCUUUGACGGGUAGCCGGCCUGAGAGGGUGACCGGCCACAUUGGGACUGAGAUACAGCCCAGACUCCUACGGGAGGCAGCAGUGGGGAAUAUUGCACAAUGGGCGGAAGCCUGAUGCAGCAACGCCGCGUGCGGGAUGACGGCCUUCGGGUUGUAAACCGCUUUCGCCUGUGACGAAGCGUGAGUGACGGUAAUGGGUAAAGAAGCACCGGCUAACUACGUG